GAUGAACGCUGGCGGCGUGCCUAAUACAUGCAAGUCGAGCGAACGGACGAGAAGCUUGCUUCUCUGAUGUUAGCGGCGGACGGGUGAGUAACACGUGGAUAACCUACCUAUAAGACUGGGAUAACUUCGGGAAACCGGAGCUAAUACCGGAUAAUAUUUUGAACCGCAUGGUUCAAAAGUGAAAGACGGUCUUGCUGUCACUUAUAGAUGGAUCCGCGCUGCAUUAGCUAGUUGGUAAGGUAACGGCUUACCAAGGCAACGAUGCAUAGCCGACCUGAGAGGGUGAUCGGCCACACUGGAACUGAGACACGGUCCAGACUCCUAUGGGAGGCAGCAGUAGGGAAUCUUCCGCAAUGGGCGAAAGCCUGACGGAGCAACGCCGCGUGAGUGAUGAAGGUCUUCGGAUCGUAAAACUCUGUUAUUAGGGAAGAACAUAUGUGUAAGUAACUGUGCACAUCUUGACGGUACCUAAUCAGAAAGCCACGGCUAACUACGUGCCAGCAGCCGCGGUAAUACGUAGGUGGCAAGCGUUAUCCGGAAUUAUUGGGCGUAAAGCGCGCGUAGGCGGUUUUUUAAGUCUGAUGUGAAAGCCCACGGCUCAACCGUGGAGGGUCAUUGGAAACUGGAAAACUUGAGUGCAGAAGAGGAAAGUGGAAUUCCAUGUGUAGCGGUGAAAUGCGCAGAGAUAUGGAGGAACACCAGUGGCGGAGGGCGACUUUCUGGUCUGUAACUGACGCUGAUGUGCGAAAGCGUGGGGAUCAACCAGGAUUAGAUACCCUGGUAGUCCACGCCGUAAACGAUGAGUGCUAAGUGUUAGGGGGUUUCCGCCCUUAGUGCUGCAGCUACGCAUUUAAGCACUCCGCCUGGGGAGUACGACCGCAAGGUUGAAACUCAAAGGAAUUGACGGGGACCCGCACAAGCGGUGGAGCAUGUGGUUUAAUUCGAAGCAACGCGAAGAACCUUACCAAAUCUUGACAUCCUUUGACAACUCUAGAGAUAGAGCCUUCCCCUUCGGGGGACAAAGUGACAGGUGGUGCAUGGUUGUCGUCAGCUCGUGUCGUGAGAUGUUGGGUUAAGUCCCGCAACGAGCGCAACCCUUAAGCUUAGUUGCCAUCAUUAAGUUGGGCACUCUAAGUUGACUGCCGGUGACAAACCGGAGGAAGGUGGGGAUGACGUCAAAUCAUCAUGCCCCUUAUGAUUUGGGCUACACACGUGCUACAAUGGACAAUACAAAGGGCAGCGAAACCGCGAGGUCAAGCAAAUCCCAUAAAGUUGUUCUCAGUUCGGAUUGUAGUCUGCAACUCGACUACAUGAAGCUGGAAUCGCUAGUAAUCGUAGAUCAGCAUGCUACGGUGAAUACGUUCCCGGGUCU
rnacentral:rRNA from 1 species